rnacentral:tRNA from 1 species
CAGAGAAUAGUUUAUUAAAAUAUUAAUUUUGGAGAUUAAUGAUAAGGUGUACCUUUUCUCUGA